rnacentral:rRNA from 1 species
UGCCUACGGGAGGCAGCAGUGAGGAAUAUUGCACAAUGGGCGAAAGCCUGAUGCAGCAACGCCGCGUGAGGGACGAAGGCCUUCGGGUUGUAAACCUCUUUUCUGGGGGAAGAGAUCAAGGACGGUACCUCAGGAAUAAGUCUCGGCUAACUACGUGCCAGCAGCCGCGGUAAAACGUAGGAGGCGAGCGUUAUCCGGAUUUACUGGGCGUAAAGCGCGCGCAGGCGGUUCCGUUAGUCGGACGUGAAAGCUCCUGGCUUAACUGGGAGAGGCCGUUCGAUACUGCGGGACUUGAGGUUGGGAGAGGAGUGUGGAAUUCCCGGUGUAGUGGUGGAAUGCGUAGAGAUCGGGAGGAACACCUGUGGCGAAAGCGGCACUCUGGCCCACACCUGACGCUGAGGUGCGAAAGCGUGGGUAGCAAACAGGAUUAGAUACCCUGGUAGUCCACGCUGUAAACGAUGUCAACUAGGUGUCGGUGGUUUUACACCAUCGGUGCCGUAGCUAACGCGUUAAGUUGACCGCCUGGGGACUACGGCCGCAAGG